rnacentral:tRNA from 1 species
AAUGAUGAGCCUGAAUAAAGGACUAUCGUGAUAGGAUAAAACAUGUAGUAACACUACUACCUUCAUUA